rnacentral:rRNA from 1 species
GUCGACGGCAGCAUGAUCUAGCUUGCUAGAUUGAUGGCGAGUGGCGAACGGGUGAGUAAUACAUCGGAACGUGCCCUGUAGUGGGGGAUAACUAGUCGAAAGAUUAGCUAAUACCGCAUACGACCUGAGGGUGAAAGUGGGGGACCGCAAGGCCUCAUGCUAUAGGAGCGGCCGAUGUCUGAUUAGCUAGUCGGUGGGGUAAAGGCCCACCAAGGCGACGAUCAGUAGCUGGUCUGAGAGGACGAUCAGCCACACUGGGACUGAGACACGGCCCACACUCCUACGGGAGGCAGCAGUGGGGAAUUUUGGACAAUGGGCGAAAGCCUGAUCCAGCAAUGCCGCGUGUGUGAAGAAGGCCUUCGGGUUGUAAAGCACUUUUGUCCGGAAAGAAAUGGCUCUGGUUAAUACCUGGGGUCGAUGACGGUACCGGAAGAAUAAGGACCGGCUAACUACGUGCCAGCAGCCGCGGUAAUACGUAGGGUCCAAGCGUUAAUCGGAACUACCGGGCGUAAAGCGUGCGCAAGCGGUUGUGCAAGACCGAUGUGAAAUCCCCGAGCUUAACUUGGGAAUUGCAUUGGUGACUGCACGGCUAGAGUGUGUCAGAGGGGGGUAGAAUUCCACGUGUACCAGUGAAUGCGAAGAGAUGUGGAGGAAUACCGAUGGCGAAAGCUCCCCCUGGGAUACACUGACACUCAUGCAAUAAGCGUGGGGAGCUAAAGGAUUAAUACCCUGGUAGUCACGCCCUAAAGAUGUCACUACUCUUGGGGAUUAUUUCCUUAUAACGUACUCACGGGGAAGUUACCCCUGGGGAUUCUGCCCUAGAUUAAACUUAAUGAUUGACGGG